rnacentral:rRNA from 1 species
AUUGAACGCUGGCGGCAUGCCUUACACAUGCAAGUCGAACGGCAGCACGGGAGCAAUCCUGGUGGCGAGUGGCGAACGGGUGAGUAAUAUAUCGGAACGUGCCCAGUAGUGGGGGAUAACUGCUCGAAAGAGCAGCUAAUACCGCAUACGACCUGAGGGUGAAAGGGGGGGAUCGCAAGACCUCUCGCUUGGAGCGGCCGAUAUCAGAUUAGCUAGUUGGUGUGGUAAAGGCCUACCAAGGCAACGAUCUGUAGUUGGUCUGAGAGGACGACCAGCCACACUGGGACUGAGACACGGCCCAGACUCCUACGGGAGGCAGCAGUGGGGAAUUGUGGACGAUGGGCGCAAGCCUGAUCCAGCAAUGCCGCGUGCAGGAAGAAGGCCUUCGGGUUGUAAACUGCUUUUGUCAGGGAAGAAAUCCUCUAGGUUAAUACCCUUGGGGGGAUGACGGUACCUGAAGAAUAAGCACCGGCUAACUACGUGCCAGCCGCCGCCGUAAUAC